CAGGCUCUCGCUCUCUUUAGGCUUUUCUCUGUUCCUUUCUGCUGCAUACAAGGAGCUGAGGGCCAGGAGCCCCUCUGGAGUGUUUGUUUAUUCAGCAGUAGUUGUGAACUACUACAUGCAUUGUGUUGAGUACCAGGGAGACCGCAGUGACCAUGUCACCCACCCUUGAGGUUUACAGAAGUUCUACUAAGAGAAAGGGUGAACCAUAAACUAGAACAGUAGAGAUUCCAGACAAUGAGGAGUUGGCUGAGGAGGUUAAAGCAGUGUGACAUACUGUGCUCUGAGUGGGGAGGGACGCUGAGCCAAGGGCCUUUGAACUGCCUUUGGAAGAGCUGUGGAAGAAUAUUCCAGACAAUGGAGAGAGUCAGAUCCUGGGGCCGGAGGCAAAUCAGGGCUGCCACAUUGAGGGAUUUGAAAGAAGGCCAUGUUGUGGUAGUGGUAGUGAGAUGGGGCUCCCUGGUAAGAGCUGGGCAGAGGCCACCCCCAGAGGGACUGAUGAGGAGAGGGCCUGCUGUCCCAUGAGUGGCAGAAGCCCUGGGGUGGUGCUUUGUAAAGCUUCCUUUGGCCACAGUGUGGGGAAGGGGUAGUUAAGGGGUGCGAGAGGCGGCCUGAAGAUCCAUGAGCAGCCACCGGCCGGAGGUGAUGAAAGUUGGGCCUGGGGUGGC
rnacentral:lncRNA from 1 species